CAAGGGAUCAUGGGAGCUGUAGUCCUAGACACGUUGUCUUCCUAGGACAAGGAGCGCCAGUUAACUACAACUCCCACAAUUCUCGGCGUGUACCUCAGAGUCUCAGUUGUACCUAAGCGCGGAAAUCUCAGGCGAGUGCGGCUUAUUAUGUGAGAAAAUCAUUGUAUCUAUAACUGAUCUCCGGGGGGAGACACUGAUGGCCCCUACAGUGUUGUGUCUUGUGGAAGACCUUUAAUGGACAGAUAUAACUAAGAAUAGGCCGAAUGGAAAUUGUAACCACUUAUGAGAAGAAGCCGACUCCAGGACUGGAAUUUACAGGGAAUUUCAAAAAAAUAUCAGUAACACCUGGAUUCCUGUAUGUACAGAGCAGAACAAAAGCAAGGCCUGAACUUAUGGAGGAAAGCUAAGAAAACACGAUCAGGAUGGUGCCAAUGUCAGUGGCCGUGCGGGGGUCCGCACCUGUGCUAUGUAUGUUCUAUCUACACACGUGUACGUUCAUGUCUAGUGCUCGGCAUUACAGCGACGCGUUCACACCCAGUGACCGCGCAGGCAGGUGCACCUUCUCAGGUCACGUCAGGCUCUUAUCACUUCACAUCUCUUUCCAGCCAGAUCCCGAUUCACGUCGCGACACGAAUGGCAAACACUUUAUUUCUAAAUUUGCUCAACAACUUCUGGCUUGGAGAUAAGAGUGUUACCCCCCCCCCUCCCCUCUGCUCCCGGGGCAUUCAAGGGGUAGAAUUUUCCCAGCAUUGAAUGUUCAUGGUCUAAGUCAAGACUAACAAAAAAUGGCAAUAAUCAUAAAUAAAGGUAUU